rnacentral:misc_RNA from 1 species
UUUUGAAACAGCAAUGUUUGGGUCCACUUCUUUUAGUGGAUUUAAUUGGCUGUCCUCUGAGUACUGGUUCUGCGUAUCAGAUUAUGAACUUUUUAAGAACUUUAUUACCAAUUUGUUGAGCAAAUUAGUGAUUAUUGGGAUCUUCAAAUUCAGGACGUUCCUGAUAUCUCAUGUAAUCCUCAUUUUCUUUUCUAUUAAUUUAGUUGAUGAGACCAUAUAAUUAGGGGGUUUAG